rnacentral:rRNA from 1 species
UGGGGAAUUUUGGACAAUGGGCGAAAGCCUGAUCCAGCAAUGCCGCGUGUGUGAAGAAGGCCUUCGGGUUGUAAAGCACUUUUGUCCGGAAAGAAAUCCUUGGCUCUAAUACAGUCGGGGGAUGACGGUACCGGAAGAAUAAGCACCGGCUAACUACGUGCCAGCAGCCGCGGUAAUACGUAGGGUGCAAGCGUUAAUCGGAAUUACUGGGCGUAAAGCGUGCGCAGGCGGUUUGCUAAGACCGAUGUGAAAUCCCCGGGCUCAACCUGGGAACUGCAUUGGUGACUGGCAGGCUAGAGUAUGGCAGAGGGGGGUAGAAUUCCACGUGUAGCAGUGAAAUGCGUAGAGAUGUGGAGGAAUACCGAUGGCGAAGGCAGCCCCCUGGGCCAAUACUGACGCUCAUGCACGAAAGCGUGGGGAGCAAACAGGAUUAGAUACCCUGGUAGUCCACGCCUAAACGAUGUCAACUAGUUGUGGGGAUCAUUCCUUAGUAACGUAGCUAACGCGUGAAGUUGACCGCCUGGGGAGUACGGUCGCAAGAUUAAAACUCAAAGGAAUUGACGGGGUCAUAGCUGUUUCCU